CUUUUACUGAGGAAGAAAAAACUCAGAUUGUUGUUGGACUGUGUGCUCUGAUACUUGGUUUGGUUAUCCUGACCUCUGGAUUUAUCUACUACAGGAAAAAGUCAGCUUUAUACAACUCUAUCUGCCAAGGACGAGCAGUGAUUCCUGUGGACGUCAUUCCCGAAUUUUGAGCCUUUUAGUAGCUCAAACAAAAACUAAUUGAAAAAAGACAAAGUCCUCCAUGAUGUUCUACAUAUGGCACCUCUAACUAUGUCUAGGCUUUGGUGGUCGGGUUGAUAUACGGGAUUUUAAAUCUCAGGGGAAAUACACAAGUUUUACAUAUAUUACUGUUUUUGAAAGUUUAUAUUUGUACUUGGCGGUUUUUUGUCUUUUUCUGCAUGAUUUAUGGGGCUGCACAGUUAGUAGCUGCACAUUGUUGCCUUGCAGCAACAGUUCUACCUUUGUUUGAAUCCUGGCCCGGGGUCUUUCUGCAUGGAGUUUGUUGAUUCUCCCUUUGCAUGUGUGGGUUCUCUCUCUGCAUACUCUGACUUCCUCCCACAGUCCAGAAACAUGACUGUUAGGUUUAUUUGUCUCUCUAAAUUGCCCUUAGGUAUGAUUGUGUGUGUGUACAUGAUUGCUUAUCUUGUUGGUCUUUGCGUUGACCUGUCAUGGACUGACGACCUGUCCAUCACAGACGUCUCUCACCCAAUGACAACUGGAGAUAGCACCCCGCCACCUCAGGACCCUGCAUGGAUAAGCUGGUAUGGAUGGAUGACUUACAAAUAUCUAAAGAUAAGAAAAGAUUCUGCACAUGUGCCUUUACCCAUAAGCAAUGAUACACUUACAAAUAAAUAUAUUUGUUAUAAAUACAACUUUAAAUAUCCAAUAAAUGAUUUUUUGUCAUGUCUUA